rnacentral:rRNA from 1 species
UGAAGUUAGCGGCGGACGGGUGAGUAACACGUGGGUAACCUGCCCAUAAGACUGGGAUAACUCCGGGAAACCGGGGCUAAUACCGGAUAACAUUUUGAACCGCAUGGUUCGAAAUUGAAAGGCGGCUUCGGCUGUCACUUAUGGAUGGACCCGCGUCGCAUUAGCUAGUUGGUGAGGUAACGGCUCACCAAGGCAACGAUGCGUAGCCGACCUGAGAGGGUGAUCGGCCACACUGGGACUGAGACACGGCCCAGACUCCUACGGGAGGCAGCAGUAGGGAAUCUUCCGCAAUGGACGAAAGUCUGACGGAGCAACGCCGCGUGAGUGAUGAAGGCUUUCGGGUCGUAAAACUCUGUUGUUAGGGAAGAACAAGUGCUAGUUGAAUAAGCUGGCACCUUGACGGUACCUAACCAGAAAGCCACGGCUAACUACGUGCCAGCAGCCGCGGUAAUACGUAGGUGGCAAGCGUUAUCCGGAAUUAUUGGGCGUAAAGCGCGCGCAGGUGGUUUCUUAAGUCUGAUGUGAAAGCCCACGGCUCAACCGUGGAGGGUCAUUGGAAACUGGGAGACUUGAGUGCAGAAGAGGAAAGUGGAAUUCCAUGUGUAGCGGUGAAAUGCGUAGAGAUAUGGAGGAACACCAGUGGCGAAGGCGACUUUCUGGUCUGUAACUGACACUG